rnacentral:rRNA from 1 species
UUGUUUGGAGAGUUUGAUCCUGGCUCAGGACGAACGCUGGCGGCGUGCUUAACACAUGCAAGUCGAACGGAAAGGCCUCUUCGGAGGUACUCGAGUGGCGAACGGGUGAGUAACACGUGGGCAAUCUGCCCUGCACUUCGGGAUAAGCCCGGGAAACUGGGUCUAAUACCGAAUAGGACCUCGAGACGCAUGUCCCGAGGUGGAAAGCUUUUGCGGUGUGGGAUGGGCCCGCGGCCUAUCAGCUUGUUGGUGGGGUGAUGGCCUACCAAGGCGACGACGGGUAGCCGGCCUGAGAGGGUGUCCGGCCACACUGGGACUGAG